rnacentral:rRNA from 1 species
CAAUAGCGUAUAUUAAAGUUGUUGCAGUUAAAAAGCUCGUAGUUGGAUUUCUGGUUGAAGCGACCGGUCGGGCGUUGAUUCGUCUGCACUGGAGUCGGUUUUGGCCAUCCUCUAGGAAAGUGCGUCUGGUAUUAAGUUAUCGGGCGUAUGAUCCUGGUCUUUUACUGUGAAAAAAUUAGAGUGUUUAAAGCAGGCCUUCGCCUUGAAUACAUUAGCAUGGAAUAAUAAGAUAGGACUUUGGUCUAUUUUGUUGGUUUGCAAACCGAAGUAAUGAUUAAUAGGGAUAGUUGGGGGUAUUUAUAUUCCGAUGUCAGAGGUGAAAUUCUUAGAUUUUCGGAAGAUAAACUUAUGCGAAAGCAUUUACCAAGGAUGUUUNCAUUAA